rnacentral:rRNA from 1 species
AUACGGAGGAUCCAAGCGUUAUCCGGAUUUAUUGGGUUUAAAGGGAGCGUAGGCGGAUUAUUAAGUCAGUUGUGAAAGUUUGCGGCUCAACCGUAAAAUUGCAGUUGAUACUGGUAGUCUUGAGUGCAGCAGAGGUAGGCGGAAUUCGUGGUGUAGCGGUGAAAUGCUUAGAUAUCACGAAGAACUCCGAUUGCGAAGGCAGCUUACUGGACUGUAACUGACGCUGAUGCUCGAAAGUGUGGGUAUCAAACAGGAUUAGAUACCCUGGUAGUCCACACAGUAAACGAUGAAUACUCGCUGUUUGCGAUAUACAGCAAGCGGCCAAGCGAAAGCAUUAAGUAUUCCACCUGGGGAGUACGCCGGCAACGGUGAAACUCAAAGGAAUCGGCGGGG